rnacentral:rRNA from 1 species
UACGAAGGUGGCAAGCGUUACUCGGAAUUACUAGGCGUAAAGGGCAGGUAGGUGGUUUGAUAAGUCUGUUGUGUAAGCUCCCGGCUUAACUGGGAGAGGUCAACAGAUACUAUUAGGCUUGAGUAUGGGAGAGGGUACUGGAAUUCCCGGUGUAGCGGUGAAAUGCGCAGAGAUCGGGAGGAACACCAAUGGCGAAAGCAGGUACCUGGACCAUUACUGACACUAAGCUGCGAAAGCUAGGGGAGCAAACAGG